GACGAACGCUGGCGGCGUGGAUUAGGCAUGCAAGUCGAACGGUAUCAUCCUUUCGGGGGUGAGAGAGUGGCGAACUGGUGAGUAACACGUAGGUUAUCUACCCUCAAGACGGGGACAACCCAGGGAAACUUGGGCUAAUACCGGAUGUGAGCAACUUUUUAGUUGUUUGAAAGGUGGCGUAAGCUGUCGCUUGGGGAUGAGCCUGCGUCCUAUUAGUUAGUUGGUGAGGUAACGGCUCACCUAGGCAAUGAUAGGUAGGCGGCCUUAACGGGUGGUCGCCCACACUGGGAUUGAGAUACGGCCCAGACUCCUACGGGAGGCAGCAGUCGAGAAUAGUCUACAAUGGUCGGAAGACUGAUAGUGCGACGCCGCGUGAACGAUGAAUCCCUUCGGGGUGUAAAGUUCUUUUAUAUGUGAGCAGUGCUUCUUAUAUUAACAGUAUGGGGAAGAGAUAUUAGCAUAUGAAUAAGCAACGGCUAACUCCGUGCCAGCAGCCGCAGU
rnacentral:rRNA from 1 species